GGGUCAGUAGGUUGGUCGUGCCACCGGUACGUACUGGUCUCACUGAUUCCUCAUUCCUGAAGAACCGUAAUGCCGUUAAUUUGGUGUUGCGGGGAAACAGGACUGUUACUUUGAAAAAAUUAGAGUGUUUAAAGCAAGCUAACGCUUGAAUACAUUAGCAUGGAAUAAUGAAAUAGGACGAUCGAUCCUAUUUUGUUGGUUUCUAGGAUUGACGUA
rnacentral:rRNA from 1 species